rnacentral:rRNA from 1 species
UACGUAGGGGGCAAGCGUUGUCCGGAUUUAUUGGGCGUAAAGAGCGUGUAGGCGGCUUGGUAGGUCCGCUGUGAAAACUCGAGGCUCAACCUCGAGACGCCGGUGGAAACCAUCAGGCUAGAGUCCGGAAGAGGAGAGUGGAAUUCCUGGUGUAGCGGUGAAAUGCGCAGAUAUCAGGAGGAACACCGGUGGCGAAGGCGGUUCUCUGGGCUGAUACUGACGCUGAGGCGCGAAAGCCAGGGGAGCAAACGGG